GGUGCACCCCUGUAGUCCCAGCUACCCGGGAGCCUAAGGCGUGAGGAUUGCUUGAGCCCAGGAGUUCUGGACUGUAGCACAGUAUGGCUCAUGUGUCCUCACUAAGUUUGGCAUCAGUAUUGUGACUUCUGAGGAGCAGGGACUACAAAGUUGCCUAAAGAGGGAUGAACUGGCCCAGGGAGAAAAUGAGGCAGGUCAAAACUCCCAUGCUGAUCAGUAGUGGGAUCACCCCUGUGAAUAGCCACAGCACUCCAGCCUGGGCAACAUAGCAAGACCCUGUCUCUA
ensembl:misc_RNA Metazoa_SRP Metazoan signal recognition particle RNA